UGCAGGAUAACGUAGCCAAGAAGGGCAACCAGACAUACAACAGGAGGCUGCUGGCUGGUACUAACACUGAAAAGCCAGCUAGGUGCCGGCCAAGGCUGGGGAGGGGCUCCGGUGCCGCAGACCCCGCGCGGGGGCGGCGCGGGCGUGAAGGGGCCGGCGGCCGGCGGGCAGUGCGCACGCGCGGCCCCGGCCUUUGUACCUGCGGCGGCGGCGGCGGCGGCAGCGGCACCUGAAGCCCCCCAGCGAGCAUGCGCGGCCGCGGCCGCCCCGCCGCGAGGGGCGCGGGGGGAGGGGCGGCGCUCCGCCCCGGCCUUACCUGCCCGCGUUCUCCGCGUCCAUUCCCGGCGGCCGCUCCUGCGGACGGCUGCUCCGGUCACGUCCUGGUCGCUACGGUAUGGCGGCGUAGGGGCAGCGGUACAGGGACCGGAGGCUUGGACCCGAUGGCCGGCAGACCGGAGACCGCGGCGAACGCUCAAGCCCCGCCCCCUCCCUCAGGGCUCCCCCUCCCCCCGCGCAAACCCCUCUUUGGCGGGGCGCUUCCGCCUGCGCCUCGCCAAAUCCCAGGACGUGUGAGGGUCACGUGUCGCGGGACAGUCCAAUCGGCGGGAUGUGGGAGAAAGAAGAGUCUAUGGAAUCAGAGAACCUGAGAGUCCAGGCCACUGUACUAUCUUGGGCCCCAGGUUCCUAAUCUGUACAUUGAGGUGAUUGUAAAACUGCUUUGUAAAAUGUAGAACUUGACAUAAAUUGUUGUCUGGCUUA